UACAUGUGGGGCAAGCGUUGUUCGGAAUUACUGGGCAUAAAGGGUGCGUAGGUGGCGUCGUAAGUCAGGGGUGAAAUCCGACAGCCCAACUGUCGAACUGCCUUUGAUACUGCGAUGCUUGAGUGCGUGAGGGGUGACCGGAACGCGUGGUGUAGCGGUGAAAUGCGUAGAUAUCACGCGGAAGGCCAAAGGCGAAGGCAGGUCACUGGUGCGCAACUGACACUGAGGCACGAAAGCGUGGGGAGCAAACAGG
rnacentral:rRNA from 1 species